CACGUAGUUAGCCGUGACUUUCUGGUUGGAUACCGUCACUGCGUGAACAGUUACUCUCACGCACGUUCUUCUCCAACAACAGAGUUUUACGAGCCGAAACCCUUCUUCACUCACGCGGUGUUGCUCCAUCAGGCUUGCGCCCAUUGUGGAAGAUUCCCUACUGCUGCCUCCCGUAGGAGUAUGGACCGUGUCUCAGUUCCAUUGUGGCCGAUCAGUCUCUCAACUCGGCUAUGCAUCAUCGCCUUGGUAAGCCGUUACCUUACCAACUAGCUAAUGCACCGCAGGUCCAUCCCAGAGCGAUAGCCAAAGCCAUCUUUCAAACAAAGCCAUGUGGUUUUUGUUGUUAUGCGGUAUUAGCAUCUGUUUCCAAAUUGUUACUCCCCGCUCCGGGGCAGGUUACCUACGUGUUACUCACCCGUCCGCCACUCACUGGUAAUCCAUCGUCAAUCAGGUGCAAGCACCAUCAAUCAGUUGGGCCAGUGCGUACGACUU
rnacentral:rRNA from 1 species